rnacentral:lncRNA from 1 species
UCUUCGUCGCCGACGUCCUGGGAAGACUGCUCCACGCUGAUGCACGAAAUCGCACUGUCGGAUGCGCUGAGUUGCUACUGCUGUUGAUCGAGACGGUAGAGAUGAGCCUGGUGCUGGAAUUGGUGCUGCGUCUUCUUCCACAGCUCGAGCUGGAGGUCACUGGCGAGAUUGCCGCUGGACGGCUCGUUUGCAUGGCCCCGGCUUCUAAUCGCAUU